UAAGUAGGCGCGUUCGUCUGGGCCCCGAAGCAGAAGGUCUCCGAUAGUCACGCACCAACGAGCCAAUGAAGAUCGCCAAGGAAGUCUUCGUGGCUAAAGCACUCGCUUUGCUUUUGCAGUUUGCAACUGCAGUUGCCUUCAGGCUGACCUCAGAUGACAGUACGACCCUGAGAUCUGGUGCGCGCAAUAGACCUAUCAUGUCCGCCGUCGUCAAAGAAGUCCCGCCACCCCCUCCCCCGCCCUUCCACUUCGAGGACCUCCUGAUUCCUUCCAUGACCGAGGUCGCCAAGGACUCUGGCUACCACCCCGACUUCCUGAGGAGGCUGAGGAGAGACGCCAGGGAGAGAGACCCCUGGGGGAAACCGAAGGUGGAGUCAGCCAUGGAGAGGAAGGCGCCUAGGUCUAGGGGUAGCAACGUGCCCUACGUCAACAGAAGACUUACCCGUAGGCGCCAGAGGGUUCGUCAGAACCAGAGGGGCGUGGGCUACGACUACGACGAUAGGCCUACCUGGCUUGGUUGAGAGAGAGAGAGAGAGAGAGAGGAGAGCGCCACUUGUCCUAUAUCAUACAAUCUUUACGAAGGUUACAGUUAUAGGCUGGGCUAUCUUAUCUAAACAGAGAGAGAGAGAGAGAGAGAGAGAGAGAGAGAGAGAGAGAGAGAGAGAGAGAGAGAGAGAGAGAGAGUAUUGUUACUUUCUUGUUCAUAGAGAAAGUGUCCUAAGGCAUCUAUACAAUUCUUUAUACAAUCACGAUCCAAACGCCUUAGAUAUACCUAUAAUUCACAUUGGACGACAUAGAUAUAUUUAAACGGACUCCUUUUAUAUGGUCAAUGUUCCUAGAAUUAGUCUUAGCGUAAAAUGAAACAUUAAUAUUAAAUCAUAAUUUAUUAAGCACCGCUGUGUGGCGCUCGUUCUUAUAUUUUGUAAGGAACUCGAUUGUACCUGUAGGCUUAAUCUUUUUUAUCAGUAGAAGCCCUUUGAGAAGUUCAGUUGGAGUUUUUAUGCAAAAUUAGUUUCAAUUCAUAAUUUUUAUCGUAUAUUAAAGUCGUUAGAACUAUGUUUCUAACUACAAAUUCUCUAUUUUCUUCAUGAAAUCUCCCACUGAACUUCCACAGGGGUUCAGGAAACCAAUAUUUAUGAAUAUUUAUCAAGACUAUUUCUCGUACUUCCAUGCUAGCUCAUAUGAAGACAGUUUAUACGAGGACACACGUAGGACUGUAGAGAAAUCCGCAGUCUUGCCAUGAUUAUAUUUGUUGAGGUAAUAAUAUUUGUACCUGGAAUUA